UGGGGAAUAUUGCACAAUGGGCGCAAGCCUGAUGCAGCCAUGCCGCGUGUGUGAAGAAGGCCUUCGGGUUGUAAAGCACUUUCAGCGAGGAGGAAGGGUAGUGUGUUAAUAGCACAUUGCAUUGACGUUACUCGCAGAAGAAGCACCGGCUAACUCCGUGACAGCAGCCGCGGUAAUACGGAGGGUGCAAGCGUUAAUCGGAAUUACUGGGCGUAAAGCGCACGCAGGCGGUUUGUUAAGUCAGAUGUGAAAUCCCCGCGCUUAACGUGGGAACUGCAUUUGAAACUGGCAAGCUAGAGUCUUGUAGAGGGGGGUAGAAUUCCAGGUGUAGCGGUGAAAUGCGUAGAGAUCUGGAGGAAUACCGGUGGCGAAGGCGGCCCCCUGGACAAAGACUGACGCUCAGGUGCGAAAGCGUGGGGAGCAAACA
rnacentral:rRNA from 1 species